rnacentral:lncRNA from 1 species
AUGUACCUACAGAAAACACGUCAAUCAGUGAAUUUGCAAGGCGUGGGGUUGGGGGGCCCCCAAGGGCACAUAAAACCUAUUGGAGACAAGCAGUGUCGCCUGUCCAGAUGGCCGCACCCACUAUUUCUCAUACGGCCUGCCCUGGGUUUGAAGCAGAGUCGCUGCUCAGUAUAUAUUGGUAAAGAAGAAACAGUGAACAAUUUCCUGGGAGAGGAACCCAAGAGGUGAAGAGGAACCCAAGAGGCAAAGAGGAACCCAAGUGAUAUGGGGGCAAGUUUUCCACAUGGAAAAGCCUCCAUUCAGCAGGGAACUCAGAUCUGCCAGAGAAUAAAUACGAGUGAAACUUAAAAAACAUGAGGGUGGAAGCCGACAUUAAAGCAACGCCCACCAGCAACUCAUUGAGAAUAAAGCCCUCCUGAGUGUAGCAAGUUAAUAGUGUCUAUCACCCUCUUGGAAACCUAGCCUGGGAAGACGAGGGACCGGGGCCAGGUACCAAACAUUGCUUGAAGAAGUAAUGGUGUGUGGUGGCAUCUGAUUGGCCCACUCUCCAUCAAGAUGUGUGAAUCUACAGGAGAAACCCCCGUGCAUGUCCCCACCUCACCUCCCAUAGGAAGUGAAAGCCUGUGCCUGCUGCUUGUCAGUCUGAUGCAGUGGUUCUCAACUGCGCCAACUCUGUCCUCCCAGGGGGCAUUUGAUAAUGUCUGAGGACACUUUCUGUUGUCACAUUUUUUGUGGAGGGGGGCUGGGUGGGGAUGCUUCCGGCAUCUAAUAGGUAAAUGUCAGGAAAGGAAAGUGAAGUCGCCAGUCGUGUCCAACUUUGCAACCCCAUGGACUGUAGCAUACGAGGCUCCUUCAUCCAUGGGAUCUUCCAGGCAAGGGUACUGGAGGUUGCCAUUUCCAUCUUCAGAGGAUCUUCCCACCCAGGGAUCAAACCUGGGUCUCCCAUAUUGCAGGCAGACGCUUUACCAUCUGAGCCACCAGGGAGGCCCAGGUAAAUGUCAGGGGUCUUGCUAAUUUUCUCACAGAGCACAGCAAAGAGCUGCCCAGCCCUGAGUGUCAGCAGUGCUGGAGUUGA